AAAAAGUCUUCCAUUGCGAGGCUUUGAACCCGGUAAGCUCGGCAAUGAAAAUGAAUUUAGCCAGUGUGCUACAAUGGAUUUUUUUGUUAAAUUAUACUCCCUCUGUUCCUUUUUGUUUGAUUGUUUAGAAAAAAAAAUUUGUUUCUAAAAGAUUGAUUUUUUAAGUUUUCCAUGUAAUAUAUAUUGGUUAGUAUUGGUGAAUUGUAAUUUUCAA
rnacentral:sRNA from 1 species